rnacentral:pre_miRNA from 1 species
CUUGUACUCCCUCCGUUCGGAAUUACUUAUCUCGGAUAUGGAUGUAUCUAGAACUAAAAUACAUCUAGAUACAUCCAUUUCUGCGACAAGUAAUUCCAAACGGAGGGAGUACCAC